CUUUAGCCCUGAUCGAAACGGCAUCCUUUUCUUUUUUCCUUUAAAAAAGAAAAGAUAUAGUGUAGAGCAGGUACAAUG
rnacentral:sRNA from 1 species